UGGGCCCGACGUUUGAUCCUGGCUCAGAUUGAACGCUGGCGGCAUGCUUUACACAUGCAAGUCGAGCGGCUGCGCGAGGGCAACCUUGGCGGCGAGCGGCGAACGGGUGAGUAACACAUCGGAACGUGUCCCGUAGUGGGGGAUAACCCGGCGAAAGCCGGGCUAAUACCGCAUAUGCUCUACGGAGGAAAGUGGGGGACCUGCAAGGGCCUCACGUUAUGGGAGCGGCCGAUGUCCGAUUAGCUAGUUGGUGGGGUAAAGGCCUACCAAGGCGACGAUAGGUAGCUGGUCUGAGAGGAUGAUCAGCCACACUGGGACUGAGACACGGCCCAGACUCCUACGGGAGGCAGCAGUGGGGAAUUUUGGACAAUGGGGGCAACCCUGAUCCAGCCAUGCCGCGUGCGGGAAGAAGGCCUUCGGGUUGUAAACCGCUUUUAGUCGGGAAGAAAGGGUUCUCCAUAAUACGGAGGAUUUUUGACGGUACCGGCGGAAUAAGCACCGGCUAACUACGUGCCAGCAGCCGCGGUAAUACGUAGGGUGCGAGCGUUAAUCGGAAUUACUGGGCGUAAAGCGUGCGUAGGCGGUUCCUCAAGUCCGUUGUGAAAGCCCCGGGCUCAACCUGGGAAUGGCAGUGGAAACUAGGGGACUGGAAUCUGGCAGAGGGGGGUGGAAUGCCGCGUGUAGCAGUGAAAUGCGUAGAGAUGCGGGCGGAACACCGAUGGCGAAGGCAGCCCCCUGGGCUGAGAUUGACGCUCAGGCACGAAAGCGUGGGGGAGCAAACAGGAUUAGAUACCCUGGGUAGUCCACGCCCUAAACUAUGUC
rnacentral:rRNA from 1 species